CUGAUCAUACUCUGCUUGGAUAUUUAAAGUGUUCUUCAUUGAAUCAUCCUUAAAGCUUCUUAAAACUCUACAAAUGAAGUACCACAUGGAACCUUCAUAGAAACGCUGGGCCCCCAACGUCCUGAUAGUGGAGACAGCGAGGAGCAGUGGGAGGAAUACUGGCUCUGAAGCAGGACACACUGGAGUUAGCAUCUUAGCUCUGUCACUUCCAGCUGCACCAUCUUUGAUUUGUGGGUCUACUGGCUGCUUUACCUGGGGACUGCCUUCUGCCAAGCAGGGCUUUUGAAUGGAACAGCUUAUGUGCAUCUGAGGCACAAGACCCCUUUUUAUGAAAAUCUUAAGAUAAAGACCCUUCUCACCUACCAGCCUCUCCUCUCAGAACCCUCAGGGCGCCAUGACUUUUAGGGGCAGAAGGUGAUGGCAGCAUUUCCUGGAGAUUUUGCAAAGACAACAAACCUCCCCUGGGAAGUAAAAUCAGGAAGAAGAGGAGGAGGAGGAGGACGAAGAAGGAGGACGAUGAGGCUGGAAGGAAGGGCUGCAGCAGACAACUGUGUCUCGUUAGAGAAGCUGGGUCACAGAUGUCCAGCAAGAACGUUCUGAGAGCCCCAUCCUCAUCAGCUCUACAAUCUGCGGAUCUCUCCCUCGGCACAUCAUGUCUUGGCAGGCAGAGAGUGCAGAAUGCCCUGCACUCUACAGUUAGAUUUGGAUCCCCCACCUUACAAUCAACAAUUCAGAUCUUGGAGUGAGCAAAACCAGGAAUGAAGUGAAUCCCGCCCCAGCUUUGCAGAGAGCCCAGAGAGUACUGGAUUCACGGCAGCAUCUCAAAGCAAAGGAAAAGGCAAGUCACCUUAAGGUUUCAAAGAACCUGUAGAGACUUUUGGUGGGGAAAUGGAAGAUAAAUGACAGGGACUUACACACCUGAGUCGUUUGGAGGCAUUGUUUUGAUACUUUGAAAAUAUUUAUGAUGUGGGUGGAGCAAGACCAAUCCUAGUUCAUCAGGUUUAAAGCUGCUCUAAGCAGAACUGCUUUGCGCCACUGAAAAAUGGAGGCACAGGGCAUUA